rnacentral:rRNA from 1 species
CCGAGGCGACGAUGCGUAGGGGUUCUGAGAGGAAGGUCCCCCACACUGGUACUGAGACACGGACCAGACUCCUACGGGAGGCAGCAGUGAGGAAUAUUGGUCAAUGGGCGGGAGCCUGAACCAGCCAAGUCGCGUGAGGGAAGACGGUCCUAAGGAUUGUAAACCUCUUUUGUCGGGGAGCAAGGACGCCCACGUGUGGGCGGAUGAGAGUACCCGAAGAAAAAGCAUCGGCUAACUCCGUGCCAGCAGCCGCGGUAAUACGGAGGAUGCGAGCGUUAAAACGGAUUUAUUGGGUUUAAAGGGUGCGUAGGCGGAGCGUUAAGUCAGCGGUAAAAUCGAGGGGCUCAACCCCUUCCGGCCGUUGAAACUGGUGCUCUUGAGUGGGCGAGAAGUGUGCGGAAUGCGUGGUGUAGCGGUGAAAUGCAUAGAUAUCACGCAGAACUCCGAUUGCGAAGGCAGCACACCGGCGCCCUACUGACGCUGAAGCACGAAAGCGUGGGUAUCGAACAGGAUUAGAUACCCUGGUAGUCCACGCAGUAAACGAUGAAUACUAAUUGUUCGGUUCGAGUGAGAGCUGAGUGAUCUCGAAAGCGUUAAGUAUUCCACCUGGGGAGUAC